rnacentral:rRNA from 1 species
CCUACGGGCGGCUGCAGUGGGGAAUAUUGGACAAUGGGCGAAAGCCUGAUCCAGCCAUGCCGCGUGUGUGAAGAAGGCCUUCGGGUUGUAAAGCACUUUCAGUGGGGAAGAAAGCCUUGGGGCUAAUACCCUCGAGGAAGGACAUCACCCACAGAAGAAGCACCGGCUAACUCCGUGCCAGCAGCCGCGGUAAUACGGAGGGUGCGAGCGUUAAUCGGAAUUACUGGGCGUAAAGCGCGCGUAGGCGGUCUGAUAAGCCGGUUGUGAAAGCCCCGGGCUCAACCUGGGAACGGCAUCCGGAACUGUGAGGCUAGAGUGCAGGAGAGGAAGGUAGAAUUCCCGGUGUAGCGGUGAAAUGCGUAGAGAUCGGGAGGAAUACCAGUGGCGAAGGCGGCCUUCUGGACUGACACUGACGCUGAGGUGCGAAAGCGUGGGUAGCAAACAGGAUUAGAUACCCUAGUAGUC